ACUAAAUCUGGAUCCCUUUGCUUCUUCCCUGCUGGCCACUCUUCAUAUAGAUGCUCUUGGAGCCUGUGCAUUCCAUGAUGCAUGUCAGAAAUCUCACCUUGUUCAGCCUGGUGUGCCUUAACCUCAGGAGUAAAGGGAAUCAUGUUGGAAACACGUCAUUAAAGUAGAAUGGUACAAACAUUGGCUUCUUAGUGCCAUUAGCACUUUUACCAGGAAAUGCAAAAGAUGCAACCACAUAAUGUUUUCACUUUGUUUUAUGCUGUUCUUCAAUCGCUCUUUUUGUUUGUUUGUUUGUUUGCUUUCAUUAACCAAACUCAGGGGAAUGUCAUGAUGUCACCAAGGCCAAUGGGUAGAGAAAUAAAAACCAGCCAUCCAGAAUUGAAUCUGUAAAGUCAGUGAACUUAGCCUUUCCAGGUUCCAAAUUACACAAACACAAAGAUUUUCUUAUCCUUCACCUUUCAAAGGUUUUCUUUUUAUUUUGCCACCUGUUUUCCAAAUAAGAAGUGGGAAGCCUCUUAGAUAAAUUGUGAUAAAAAUGUCUCUUUGUUUGGCGUGAGCUGUCAAAUUAGCUUUGUGUGUCCACUGAGCCAUCAAAUUAGGCUUUGGCUGCUGGAGGCCUAGGUUCUAGCUUUGGUCACCUAUCAGAAUCUUACUGUUACGCUGGGCAUGGUGGCAUGUGCCUACAUGGCUCACACCUGUAAUCCCAGCUCUUUGGGAGGCUGGGGUGGGAGGAUCACUGGAGCCCAGGAGUUCAAGACAAGUCUGGGCAAGAUAGCGAGACCCUCAUCCCUUUAAAAAAAAUAUAUAUAUAUAUAUAUAUUAAAAAGUAUAUAUAUAUAUACUUUUUUUUUUUAAGGAGAGAAAAUGCUUAGGUUGCAAAUGGAGAAUAUUGAACAUGGUGAUGUAAAAAACUUCUGCACAACUUGUUCUCUAGCUCCUGGGUCAGGUCUAUGCCAUUUUUUCUUAUAUCUGCUCACACAGUACAGAAAUGACUAAAAUUUUGGGUCUGGGCUGUUAUAUCAUUUUGUGUUAAGUUAUUUGUAGUAGCUAAUGUGCUAACUUAUAUAUGUGUUCUUUCUGUUUUUUGGAUUUUAUUACCUUUUGUUUUGGCAUAACUUAUCUAUAUUUUUGUUUACAUUAUUUUAAAAAUUAUUUUAAAAAUAUCAGUAACUGUAAUAAUAUUAAAUUGAAGUUGUAUUGUUGACAAUACCUCUAGUUUUUAAGGUCAUCUGUCACAUAAUUUAAGUGCACCAGUUCCUAAUGUAUAAAGUUCUCUCUCUCUCUCUCUCUCUCAAUAAACAAUGCAGAAAA
rnacentral:sRNA from 1 species